rnacentral:rRNA from 1 species
AACCUCUGCAAUGACACGAAAGCGCGACAGGGGUCACCCCGAGUGCUAUCCGAUGAAGAUAGCUUUUCCUUAGUGUAGUAAGCUAAGGGAAUAAGCGGAGGGCAAGCCUGGUGUCAGCCGCCGCGGUAAUACCAGCUCCUCGAGUGGUCGGGGUGAUUAUUGGGCCUAAAGCGUCCGUAGCCGGCCUAUCAAGUCUUUGGUUAAACCUCAAGGCUCAACCUUGAGAUUGCUGGAGAUACUGUUAGGCUAGGGGGCGGGAGAGGUUGAGGGUACUUCCCGGGUAGGGGUGAAAUCCUAUAAUCCGGGAAGGACCACCAGUGGCGAAGGCGCUCAACUGGAACGCGCCCGACGGUGAGGGACGAAAGCCAGGGGAGCAAAGGGGAUUAGAUACCCCGGUAGUCCUGGCUGUAAACGAUGCGGGCUAGGUGUUGGGUUGGCUUCGUGCCAACCCGGUGCCGCAGUGAAGACUGAUAAGCCCGCCGCCUGGGAAGUACGCCCGCAUGAACCCCC